rnacentral:lncRNA from 1 species
CAAUGUAUGGGCUUGAAAAUGGAGGGGAGGAGCUGUUAAGAUUUGCUUCGCCGGGCUGUAAGGAAGACCGGGAAGCAAACCGUGAGUGUGUGAAAUUGAUGGCUUGCGCGAUACUGGUGAGCCACUCCCACUGUCCUUUGUCAUCCUGCUUCUCUCUUGAGACCUUUCCUUGUCUUUAGGCGCCCUCUCCCCGCUCCAGAGCCCAGCACUUUGCUCUCUCUUGAACAUUUACGGUGUGCUAACUGCUAACAGCUGCUUUCCCUUCACUCACAACCCCAAGGCCCCCAGACCCGCACCUCCACCCACCCGGAGCAUCUUCCCAUGGCUCUGUGUCUUCACCCCUGCAGGGCCUGCACAGAGACCCGGCCGCACUCUUCCCACGGGAGGCCUUUCCAUCCUCACCGUCUCCGUCAGGCCCCGAGCCCUGCGUGUGUUUUCUCUCUGUAAUGCUCCCUGGUGCUCUAUGGUGUGUGUACCACAUGCUCAUCACUGCUGGGGGCUGGGCUCUCCCUGUUGCCCCCGUUCUGCCCGCAGCUGGACGAGGCAGCCGCCCUCUCACUCAUCACAGGUGGAAACCCAAGUCGGAGCCUGCAGGUUCCUGACCACCCAGCAGUGGGGGCUGGGCUCACCUUCGAUCCUGACUCUUGCCCCAGCACUUUCUGCUCAGGGCUGCCCACUUGGGACUUCUGAUAAAGGAAGAGAAUGAAGGAGGCCGAGGGAGCAGACCCAGCUCUGAGGAAGCAGACACCCAGUGAAUCCUAAAAGGAAUCAACCCUGAUUACUCAUUGGAAGGACUGACUGAUGCUGUAGAUGAAGCUUUGAUACUUUGGCCACCUGGUACAAAGAGCCGACUCAUUGGAAAAGUCCCUGAUGCUGGGAAAGAUUGAAGGCAGGAGGAGAAGGGGAUGACAGAGGACAAGAUGGUUGGAUGUCAUCACUGACUCAAUGGAAAUGAGUUUGAGCAGGCUCUGGGAGCUGGUGAUAAACAGGGAGGCCUGGCGUGCUGCAUUCCAU